rnacentral:rRNA from 1 species
AUUGAACGCUGGCGGCAGGCCUAACACAUGCAAGUCGAACGAGUGGCGGACGGGUGAGUAAUGUCUGGGAAACUGCCCGAUGGAGGGGGAUAACUACUGGAAACGGUAGCGAAUACCGCAUACCAUCGGAUGUGCCCCGAUGGGGUUAGAGAGUAGGUGGGGGAACGGCUCACCGAGGCGACGAUCCCUAGCUGGUCUGAGAGGAUGACCAGCAACACGGGAACUGAGACACGGUCCAGACUCCUACGGGAGGCAGCAGUGGGGAAUAUUGCACAAUGGGCGCAAGCCUGAUGCAGCCAUGCCGCGUGUAUGAAGAAGGCCUUAGGGUUGUAAAGUACUUUCAGCGGGGAGGCGUUACCCGCAGAAGAAGCACCGGCUAACUCCGUGCCAGCAGCCGCGGUAAUUC